GACAGAGGAUGCAAGCGUUAUCCGGAAUGAUUGGGCGUAAAGCGUCUGUAGGUGGCUUUUUAAGUUUGCCGUCAAAUCCCAGGGCUCAACCCUGAAGGUGUAUCUCAAACUACUAAACUUGAGGAUGGUAGAGGCAAGUGGAAUUCCAGGUGUAGGAGUGAAAUCCGUAGAUAUCUGGAGGAACACCAAUGGCGAAGGCAGCUUGCUGGGCCAUUCCUGACACUGAGGCACGAAAGCGUGGGGAGCGAACCGG
rnacentral:rRNA from 1 species